AGCGAACGCUGGCGGCAGGCCUAACACAUGCAAGUCGAACGAAGUCUUCGGACUUAGUGGGGGACGGGUGAGUAACACGUGGGAACGGGCCUUUAGGGUCGGCAUAACUCAGGGAAACUUGUGCGAAUACCGAAUGUGCUCUGCGCGGGAAAGAUUUAUCGCCUUUAGAGCGGCCCGGGGCUGGUUAGCUAGUUGGUGAGGUAAAGGCUAACCCAGGCGACGAUCAGUGGCUGGUCUGAGAGGCUGAUCAGCCACAUUGGGACUGAGACACGGCCCAAACUCCGACGGGAGGCAGCAGUGGGGAAUCUUGCGCAAUGGGCGAAAGCCUGACGCAGCCAUGCCGCGUGAAUGAUGAAGGUCUUAGGAUUGUAAAAUUCUUUCACCGGGGACGAUAAUGACGGUACCCGGAGAAGAAGCCCCGGCUAACUUCGUGCCAGCAGCCGCCGUAAAAC
rnacentral:rRNA from 1 species